rnacentral:rRNA from 1 species
GACGAACGCUGGCGGCGUGCUUAACGCAUGCAAGUCGAACGGAAAGGCCCUGCUUUUGUGGGGUGCUCGAGUGGCGAACGGGUGAGUAACACGUGAGUAACCUGCCCUUGACUUUGGGAUAACUUCAGGAAACUGGGGCUAAUACCGGAUAGGAGCUCCUGCUGCAUGGUGGGGGUUGGAAAGUUUCGGCGGUUGGGGAUGGACUCGCGGCUUAUCAGCUUGUUGGUGGGGUAGUGGCUUACCAAGGCUUUGACGGGUAGCCGGCCUGAGAGGGUGACCGGCCACAUUGGGACUGAGAUACGGCCCAGACUCCUACGGUAGGCAGCAGUGGGGAAUAUUGCACAAUGGGCGGAAGCCUGAUGCAGCAACGCCGCGUGCGGGAUGACGGCCUUCGGGUUGUAAACCGCUUUCGCCUGUGACGAAGCGUGAGUGACGGUAAUGGGUAAAGAAGCACCGGCUAACUACGUG